AGAGCUCAGAUCAGCGGCGGCCAGUGCCCACUUCACCCUCAGAGGGCGAAGAACACCAAGACGCCCCGACCCGGGUCCGGGGACGGGGGAGGGAAAAGUCUGGGGUCACUCCCCGUUGCCCCCUCCCCCCACCCCAUGGAUCCAGACGAUGCUUGGCCCGGGACUCCCUGAGGCCCUGCCCGCGGUGGGUUCUCCGGCGCCAGAGUCGGGGGCGGGCGGGGGUCACCCGAGGGCCGCUCCCCGGUGACCCGCGCCCGCCCGCCUCCAGCACGGGGCCGCGCCUCGCGGUGGCCCGCGAGCUGCUCCUGGCUGCGCUGGAGGAACUGAGCCAAGAGCAGCUGAAGCGCUUCCGCCACAAGCUGCGCGACGUGGGCCCGGACGGACGCAGCAUCCCGUGGGGGCGGCUGGAGCGCGCGGACGCCGUGGACCUCGCGGAGCAGCUGGCCCAGUUCUACGGCCCGGAGCCUGCGCUGGAGGUGGCCCGCAAGACCCUCAAGAGGGCGGACGCGCGCGACGUGGCGGCGCAGCUCCAGGAGCAGCGGCUGCAGCGGCUCGGGCUCGGCUCCGGGACGCUGC
rnacentral:sRNA from 1 species